UAGGGAAUCUCCCACAAUGGGCGCAAGCCUGAUGGAGCAACACCGCGUGAGUGAAGAAGGGUUUCGGCUCGUAAAGCUCUGUUGUUAAAGAAGAACACGUAUGAGAUUAACUGUUCAUACGUUGACGGUAUUUAACCAGAAAGUCACGGCUAACUACGUGCCAGCAGCCGCGGUAAUACGUAGGUGGCAAGCGUUAUCCGGAUUUAUUGGGCGUAAAGAGAGUGCAGGCGGUUUUCUAAGUCUGAUGUGAAAGCCUUCGGCUUAACCGGAGAAGUGCAUCGGAAACUGGAUAACUUGAGUGCAGAAGAGGGUAGUGGAACUCCAUGUGUAGCGGUGGAAUGCGUAGAUAUAUGGAAGAACACCAGUGGCGAAGGCGGCUACCUGGUCUGCAACUGACGCUGAGACUCGAAAGCAUGGGUAGCGAACAGGAUUAGAUACCCUGGUAGUCCAUGCCGUAAACGAUGAGUGCUAGGUGUUGGAGGGUUUCCGCCCUUCAGUGCCGGAGCUAACGCAUUAAGCACUCCGCCUGGGGAGUACGACCGCAAGGUUG
rnacentral:rRNA from 1 species